rnacentral:rRNA from 1 species
AGUAAAUAGAUACCCAGGUAGUCCACGCCGUAAACGAUGAGUACUAGGUGUAGGAGGUAUCGACUCCUUCUGUGCCGCAGUUAAACACAAUAAGUACUCCGCCUGGGAAGUACGGUCGCAAGAUUAAAACUCAAAGGAAUUGACGGGGGCCCGCACAAGCAGCGGAGCAUGUGGUUUAAUUCGAAGCAACGCGAAGAACCUUACCUAGACUUGACAUCUCCUGAAUAGUGUAGAGAUACAUGAAGCCCUUCGGGGUCAGGAAGACAGGUGGUGCAUGGUUGUCGUCAGCUCGUGUCGUGAGAUGUUGGGUUAAGUCCCGCAACGAGCGCAACCCUUAUUACUAGUUGCUACCAUUAAGUUGAGCACUCUAGUGAGACU